rnacentral:rRNA from 1 species
UACGAAGGGGGCUAGCGUUGUUCGGAAUUACUGGGCGUAAAGCGUGCGUAGGCGGUUUGUUAAGUCCGCUGUGAAAGCCCUGGGCUCAACCUGGGAAUUGCAGUGGAUACUGGCAAGCUAGAGUGCGGUAGAGGAUGGUGGAAUUCCCGGUGUAGCGGUGAAAUGCGUAGAUAUCUGAAGGAACAUCAGUGGCGAAAGCGACCUCCUGGACCAAUACUGACGCUCAGGUGCGAAAGCGUGGGGAGCAAACAGG